rnacentral:rRNA from 1 species
AAUAUUGGGCAAUGGGGGAAACCCCGACCCAGCAACGCCGCGUGAGUGAAGAAGGUUUUCGGAGUGUAAAACUCUGUCCUGAAGGACGAAAAAAAUGACGGUACUUCAGGAGGAAGCCACGGCUAACUACGUGCCAGCAGCCGCGGUAAUACGUAGGGGGCGAGCGUUGUCCGGAAUUACUGGGCGUAAAGGGCGCGGAGGCGGCCUGAUAAGUUUCGUGUGAUAACCCUGUUUUUAAGGCAGGAGGUGCACGGAAAACUGUUUGGCUUGAGUGCAGGAGAGGAAAGCGGGAUUCCAAGUGUAGCGGUGAAAUGCGUAGAUAUUAGGAGGAACACCAGUGGCGAAGGCGACUCUCUGGACUGUAACUGACGCUGAGGCACGAAAGCGUGGGGAGCGAAC